CAGCAAACAACUACACUGGCUGAUCAAAAGGGAAGUGACAUCAGAGAACAAAGAGUCAACAGGACAAAGGACCUUAUGAAUGUGCUUUCUAUUGUUCUUCCCCUUAUAAAAAUGUAGGUAUUGUGUGCAAAAAGGAUCCAUAUUGAAGAAAAAGGAACUAUGGGUGGAGGACGUUACACUUUUCAGGUGCAAGAGGAACAGUAGAAAGAGAGCCUGCCAUAUGGAGAAUAAAAUAGCAGUUGACUCUUCCCAUCCACUCCACCCUGAAUUCCAGCUCCUUCCGUCUGGCCACAGUCUGGCCCAGGGGUGCGAACGUGAAUGGCAAGGCACUGAAGUGACGAACCACCCUUGCUGUCUCUGUCUGACCACCUCCCCUCUCUCCACUGGACCAUGACUCAGGACUACCUGGCUUGACGACUCCUGGCUGUUCCUGUCCCCAGUCCACCUGGUCGUGCUGCUGAUCCAGUUUCUUCUGUUCUGCCUGCGGCUAUGGAACCCUGACCUGUUCACCGGAUCUGCUACCUUGUCCAGGACAUGCUGUUUCAAGCCUCCCCACAUGAAAAAAAAAUAAAUUUUAUACUAUGGCAUAAAUACUAUAGUAUUUAUGGGAACACAGGCCUCCCAUGUGGUGCAGUGGUCUAAGGCACUGCAUCGCAGUGCUAGCUGUGCCGCUAGAGAUCCUGGUUCGAGUCCAGGCUCUGUCGUGACCGGGAGACCCAUGGGGUGGCGCACAAUUGUCCCAGCGUUGUCUGGGUUAGGGGAAGGUUUGGCUGGCAGGGAUCUUCUUGUCCCAUCAUGCACUAGCGACUCCUGUGACAGGCCGGGCAUAAUAUAUGCUGACACAGUCGCCAGGUGUACGGUGGUUCCUCCGACACAUUGGUGCGGCUGGCUUCUUGGUUAAACUGUCAUGUUUCUGCGGACUGUAGUGUUUUUGUGGACAUUACUGUAGUAUUUCAUAAUUUUUUGGGAUAAUACUGUAAUAUUUACUAUCGAAGAUAUGGGCAACUUUGAUUGGCGUGGGGGUCACAGAAAAUCUGAACUCAUCAUGAGGGGCCACAGUGGAUCAUAGAUCUGUGUACCCACAUCCAGUCAAACCCUCCCUCUUGACAGUGGAGAGAAAAAUAUGUAGAUUUAGAGUUCAUUUCCUGGAAUUCUAUACAUUUUGCCACAGGGUGGAGAGAAAUGUUUGCCAUGACAGUGACUAACAAAAUCAAUUGGGGCCCGCGGUCGGUAAUUCAACC
rnacentral:lncRNA from 1 species